rnacentral:lncRNA from 1 species
AAUACCAAAAAAAUGUAAAAUCUACAAAAACUGAAAACAUUUUCAAACAAACAAACAAUCUCUCAACUAGAACUACGUAACCCUGAUUUCUCAUUUUGAGAAUACGUAGGUGCAAGGUGAAUCCUUGUCGGGCACAAAAAACACAAAAAAUAUUUUGUUUUAUUUAGAGUUUUAUUUUUUAGGGGAAAUUAAACAUUUUGCAAACGACAUCAAAUUCGCGUAUUUAAUUAAAGGUACUGCCUUAGGGCAGGCGUUGUAGGGUGCUAACACCUUGCCUUAUCUUUUAUGGUUUUCUCCAUAGUUUUCCAGAAUAAACUAUGGUGGCGACUCCAAAUCUCAUUUCAAAACCCAUUUUCUUUUUUGGAUCGUCGUCCCGUCGUGAAAUCGGUUGCGACACAAGGCCAUGUUUCGAAACACUUACUUAGCCAAAUUUUCACCCAAAGUGUUUAAAAUGAUAUACCCUUUUUGAACCUUUUCCUUAAAUAGUAUGAAAACCCUUGUUUGAAUUAAAUUACCUUGAGUUGGGUUGAGAAUAAUUGUAUGUGUUGAAAAGGUUCAAGUUUGGGCCUGUAUGGGGAAAGUGAAAGGCAAAAGAAAAAGAAAAAUGUUGAUUUCAAAAGUUAAAAAAGAAAAAUGCAUGAGAAAAAAAAAAGAAGAAAAAAGAAAAAGCAUGCAGAGUGAACUCAAUGUAAAAAGGAAAAAAGGGAAGAAGUUGGGAAUGAGUGAGAUUGGUUAAAAAAAGAGUGUGCUUGAACUUUGAAUGAUGAUUUAAACUCUCUUAACUCAAGGAUUUUGUAUUCCAGAAAAACCAAUUUUUCUUGAUAAGCCCAGCCUCAUAACAAGCCUUGGAAAAAGUCCUUGUGAUGGCAUUUGCAUGUGAAGAUUUUGAUUGUUUUAGAUGAAUGACAAUAUUGUUUUAUGUGACAUGUGAACAGUAGAGAGUAGAAUGACCUCCUAAACAUUUGAGUGAUUGAGUGAAACACUUGCUUGGUGAGAAUUGUUAAAUCCAUGUUUACAUCUAUGCUUAGUUGAUUGAUCAUUCAUGAACAAAACAUCUGUUCGAAAAAGAUUGAUUAUGUGAACUAAAUUGGAUUGAAAACAUGCAUGCAUCUUUAUAGGAUUCCACUGAAAUCUGGAUUGUAUAAUAGCUUGUUGUGAGAAAAAGGAAUUUUGAAAAGUGUGAAUUAUUUGAUGAAGUAGAAAGCCAAGUUUUGUCUUGUUUGCUUGAGGACAAGCAAAGUUCUAAGUUUGGGAUUGUGAUAACGGUCUAAAAACCGUUAUUUUCAUACUUAAAUUUGAUGUUAAAACACACCCUUUAUGGCUUAGAAUGAGCUUAAAAUCAAGUAAAACACUUAAUUGAGUCUUGUGAGAGUCAAAAGUUGGUUUUAGAGGUAUUAUGCUUGUUUUUACAUUGUUUUGCAGGGUUUUAAGGUGAAUUGAAUAUGGAAGUACAAUAAGGUGGACUUAGACCCAUGAAAGAAGGAGAAAAAUGAUGAAAAGAAGGGUCAAGUGAACCGUUGAGCGCCAGAAUGGACCGCUGAGCGUCCAGAGCGAUUAAAGGGAGACCGCUCAGUGGCAAAACUGACCGCUGAGCGGUUAAAACGGCUAGAGGGAAUUCGUUGAGCGGUGAACUUAGGCGCCUGGGUGGUUUUCUGCUUUUAUUAGCUAGAUUUUGUAAUCUUUCUGUUAUCUUUUUGGGUUUAUAUAUAGCCUUAGUGCGAAUCAAAACUCAUUCUUUUGGCAGAGAGAAACGUCUAGUGCUAUUCUACACACCUUGGAGGAGGUUCCUUGUAUGCUUAGGCUCCAAUCUACCCAGUUUAGGGUUAUUUCUUCCAUUCUUUCAUCAUAUUUCAUCUAGAUUCACCAUGAUUAUGGUGAACUAAACCUUAGGUUGUUGGGGAACAAUGUAAUCUUUUGAAACUCUCAUAUAUC